UACGAAGGUGGCGAGCGUUGUUCGGAUUCACUGGGCAUAAAGGGCGCGUAGGCGGCCCUGUCAGCGGAAUGUGAAAGCCCGAGGCUCAACCUCGGAAUUGCGUUCCGAACUGCGGGGCUAGAGGACGAGAGGGGGCUGUGGAACUCUAGGUGGAGCGGUGAAAUGCGUAGAUAUCUAGAGGAACACCGGUGGCGAAGGCGACAGCCUGGCUCGUUUCUGACGCUGAGGCGCGAAAGCGUGGGUAGCAAACAGG
rnacentral:misc_RNA from 1 species